CGGCGGGCGCCUACUAUGUGCAGUCGACGAGACGGACUUAAGCUUGCUUAGUUGUCAGCUAAGUGGCGCACGGGUGAGUAAUGUAUAGUUAACCUGCCCUCUAGAAAGGAAUAACAGUUGGAAACGACUGCUAAUGCCCUAUAUGCCCAUAAUACAAAAGUAUGCUGGGGAAACGCUUUAGUGCUAGAGGAUGGGACUGUAUUGUAUCAGUUAGUUGGUGAGGUAAUGGCUCACCAAGACAAUGACGCAUAACUGGUUUGAGAGGAUGAUCAGUCACACUGGAACUGAGACACGGUCCAGACUCCUACGGGAGGCAGCAGUGGGGAAUAUUGCACAAUGGAGGAAACUCUGAUGCAGCAACGCCGCGUGGAGGAUGACACUUUUCGGAGCGUAAACUCCUUUUAUAUAGGAAGAUAAUGACGGUACUAUAUGAAUAAGCACCGGCUAACUCCGUGCCAGCAGCCGCGGUAAUACGGAGGGUGCAAGCGUUACUCGGAAUCACUGGGCGUAAAGAGCGUGUAGGCGGAUAGAUAAGUCAGAAGUGAAAUCCUAUGGCUCAACCAUAGAACUGCUUUUGAAACUGUCUAUCUAGAAUAUGGGAGAGGUAGAUGGAAUUUCUGGUGUAGGGGUAAAAUCCGUAGAGAUCAGAAGGAAUACCGAUUGCGAAGGCGAUCUACUGGAACAUUAUUGACGCUGAGACGCGAAAGCGUGGGGAGCAAACAGGAUUAGAUACCCUGGUAGUCCACGCCCUAAACGAUGUACACUAGUUGUUGCGAUGCUAGACAUUGCAGUAAUGCAGUUAACACAUUAAGUGUACCGCCUGGGGAGUACGGUCGCAAGAUUAAAACUCAAAGGAAUAGACGGGGGACCCGCACAAGCGGUGGAGCAUGGUGGUUUAAUUCCACGAUACGCGAAGAACCUUACCUGGGACUUG
rnacentral:rRNA from 1 species